GACGAACGCUGGCGGCGUGCUUAACACAUGCAAGUCGAACGGUAAGGCCCUUCGGGGUACACGAGUGGCGAACGGGUGAGUAACACGUGGGUGAUCUGCCCUGCACUUCGGGAUAAGCCUGGGAAACUGGGUCUAAUUCCGGAUAGGACCACUGCCUGCAUGGGUGGUGGUGGAAAGCUUUUGCGGUGUGGGAUGGGCCCGCGGCCUAUCAGCUUGUUGGUGGGGUGAUGGCCUACCAAGGCGACGACGGGUAGCCGGCCUGAGGGGGUGACCGGCCACACUGGGACUGAGAUACGGCCGAGACUCCUACGGGAGGCAGUAGUGGGGAAUAUUGCACAAUGGGAGCAAGCCUGAUGCAGCGACGCCGCGUGAGGGAUGACGGCCUUCGGGUUGUAAACCUCUUUCAGCACCGACGAAGCGCAAGUGACGGUAGGUGCAGAAGAAGGACCGGCCAACUACGUGCCAGCAGCCGCGGUAA
rnacentral:rRNA from 1 species